AAACGGGCGUUUUUUGUUUAGUCUGUAUUUACCUGCGACUGAGAGGGAUACAUUGUAACGUGCGCUCGAUAUUUCAAUUUAUAAAGCUUAAAGAUGGAAACAAAACGCGAUUUACAUCUACUCUUCUUGUACGAGUUUAAAUUAAAUCACACCGCAGCUCAAGCUUCAAGAAAUAUUAAUCUGGCAUUCGGAGAUGGAUCCAUCAAUGAAAAAAAUGCUCAAUAUUGGUUCCAAAAAUUUCGUUCUGGCAAUAUGAGCCUCGAGGAAGACCACCGGCUCAUAAUGAUAACGAGGAAUUAAGGAAUACUAUGGAAUCCGAUCCACACACAACUAGUCGAACACUUGGGUCUAAACUAGGAACUAGUCAUACAGCUGUGAUAAAACAUUUGCGUGCGAUAAAUAAAGUCAAAAAAU